UACGUAGGCAGCAAGCGUUGUUCGGAGUUACUGGGCGUAAAGGGUGUGUAGGCGGUUGGAUAAGUGUGGUGUGAAAAUCUCCCCGGCUUAACUGGGAGGGUGCGCUACAAAACUGUCUGACUAGAGUGUGGGGAUGGGUAAGUGGAAAUUCCUGGUGUAGCGGUGAAAAUGCGUAGAUAUCAGGAGGAACACCGGUGGUGUAGACGGCUUACUGGACCAUAAACUGACGCUGAUGCACGAAAAGCUGGGGGGGAGCAAAACAGG
rnacentral:rRNA from 1 species